UCGAGAAUCUUCGGCAAUGGGCGCAAGCCUGACCGAGCGACGCCGCGUGGAGGAUGAAGGCCUUCGGGUUGUAAACUCCUGUCGAGGGGGAAAAAGGGUCGAAAGGCCUUGAUUGAUCCCUGGAGGAAGCACGGGCUAAGUUCGUGCCAGCAGCCGCGGUAAGACGAACCGUGCGAACGUUAUUCGGAAUCACUGGGCUUAAAGCGCGUGUAGGCGGGUCCGUACGUCCGUCGCUGAAAUCCCCCGGCUCAACCGGGGAACGGGCGUGGAUACGGCGGACCUGGAGGGGCGUAGGGGGACCUGGAACUUCCGGUGGAGCGGUGAAAUGCGUUGAGAUCGGAAGGAACGCCCGUGGCGAAAGCGAGGUCCUGGACGCCUACUGACGCUGAGACGCGAAAGCCAGGGGAGCGAACG
rnacentral:rRNA from 1 species